rnacentral:tRNA from 1 species
GCCCAGGUGGCGGAAUUGGUAGAAGCGCACGUUUCAUGUGCGUGUGCCGCGAGGCGUGCAGGUUCGAGUCCUGUUCUGGGCA